GACCUCGUGGUUCAGUUGGUAGAGCAUUGGACUAGUAUCCCAAAGGUCGCGGGUUCGAUUCCCACCGUGAUCA